UACGGAGGGGGCGAGCGUUAUUCGGAAUUAUUGGGCGUAAAGGGCGCGUAGGCGGCUUUGCAAGUCAAAGGUGAAAUCCCUCGGCUCAACUGAGGAACUGCCUUUGAAACUGUGAGGCUUGAGUCCGGGAGGGGGUAGCGGAAUUCCCAGUGUAGCGGUGAAAUGCGUAGAUAUUGGGAGGAACACCAGUGGCGAAGGCGAGUCUCUGGGAUGAUGCUGACGCUGAGGCGCGAAAGCCAGGGGAGCAAACGGG
rnacentral:rRNA from 1 species